ACCUGGUGAUGUGGACAUUUACGAAGCAGGUCCCUAAAGUGCUCUCAAGUUUUGAAAAAGAUUUCCUCGUCCAUCUGUGAGAAACUUGUGAUGGCUUUCCGAGGUU